UUUUUUUUUUUUUUUAAGUUUUAUGUUUAAAUUAAACCAACUAUAAUAGAAAUUUUCUUUCCAGAAACAAAUGUCAGGGCAGGGGAAAUUUCCUCUCUUUUCCCUCUUAGUUCUUUUGGCUGGCAAUUGAAAUGACAUAAGGCACACUGACAGGAGAAAAUCAAAUUUAUUACAUGUGCACAUGGAAUCCACAUAAGUAGGAAGAAUUCCAAAGGUAGCAAAGUAAGGUAUAUAUAUUUCUGGACCUAAGGAGGAGUUGGUAGGAGUCUGAGAAUUCAAGUGGAAGUAAGGUAAUUCACAGGAAGAUAAAGAGUUAAUGUUUGGUAAACAAAUGUUUGCUGAGCCAUCCAAAGACAAUGGGACACGAAGAGGACUUACAUCAGAUGGACUUUGCUGGGUUCCUCCGUGUCCACCACACCUAAUACUUUACUGUAGUUUCCAUGGUGUUAGCUUCUUCCUAGGACAGGUCUCCUAUCUUAAAUUCUUCUAGGCAGUUGGCAGGAAGUUCAAAGGUUCUUACUGAGGCUUUUGGGCCAUGCAUGUUUUCAGCUCAAAUAAUCCACAUGCCAAAGUGGCACAUCCUGGGCUGCCCUGCCUUUGAGGCCCACCACAAUAACAUAUGAAGCAAGGCAUUUUGUAACUGUGGUCCUGAACUAGUGACAGUACAAAAAUAAAAAUACAUUGAAUACACUCCUCAAAACAGAGGCUACUCUCUGUCCCUCAAGCUUAGAGAGAAGCUGAUGGCCAGCCUACUAAAAACUUUAGACCAGGGUUUCCAAAAACAAAGCUAAACUCAAGCAUUAAGUGUUCAUGUUUAACAUUUGGUGCUAGGAUAAGGCAAUCAAAGAUGGGGAUUAUAAAUCAAUGUCAGUGUCCUAGAGCACUAUGCAAGGUCAAAAGUGGAGGGGUAAGAGUUAAAUAAACAGUACUCUGAAUAGAAACCAUUUAUAUGGAGAUGACAACGGAGGGGGGAAGAUUCGUUUACCUUCUGUGCUCCUAGGGGCUUAUUUUGGUCUGUGGGACCCUUUCCAAACCCUAAGGGCACCAGAGAGGACACAGGGUGGGCAGUGACCAGAACAACCUGUGCACUGUCCCCUGUUGAAAACCAGAGCUGCACCUUUUUGAGAAUCAGAGGCUGAAUCAGUCAGAAGUGGGGGAUGGUAUCAGACUGAAAGGAAGUCCUGAAGUAGACUAAGUCCCUCGCAAACUGAAGAGGAAACAGAAAUUAUGAGUAAGCAGCGGAAGUUGGUAAGUAAGCCUUGAGAAGAAAAUGGAGCGGACAUGCAGAGGGAGAGGGUAAGACAAACUACAUGCCUCAUGAUUCUUGGUGACUUUCUUGCUCAUCCUCAGCUCAAGUGUACAUGUGUACUUAUAAAAGCAGGUAAAAAAGUAAAAAAAAAACUUUUUCUGGGGAUUACUAAAAUAAUCUCUAGAGAUUCCUUGCAAGCAAAAAGGUUCUAAUCACACAUCAUUCCAAAUCCCUACUUCAUCUUGUUCUGACCAAAAAGGUCAACACUGAGAAAAUGAUUUUCUGUGGCUUUAAGUGAAGGAAAAUCAUAGUGACUGACUCAAAAUGAAGCUUCUUAUAGAAAAGACAAUUGAAACUACUCCUGAUCUCUCACAGAAAUCCUGGCUUAGUAUUUGAAAAUGAGGACAUAAAGACACUCAGGGAAACAAAUAAACAAAACAAAAAAAAAAGACUGCCCCAAGAGUCUCUGCCCUGGGACAUUCACAGUUUAAUGAGCAAAUGUUGGAGAAUUUAGCAGGGGGAAACCUGACAAAAAUUCCUGUUCCCUUGGAAUACAGAGACUAGAGGAGAAGAUGAAGAAAAAAGCAAAGUAGGUAAGUAAAAUAUACAUUGUGUUGGAUGAAUUCCAAAGAGUAAGCCAAAGUAAACAACAGAGCACUGACAUAUAGAAGUAUGCACAGAAAAAAUUAUCCAUAAUCCCAACAACCAUAAAGAAAUGACUACUAAUUGCAGAGUAGCAUAUUUCCUUGAAUUUUUUUCCUUUGUGUAAGUGUACAUACACAAGUACUCACACAUUUUCAAAUUUUAUUCUACAAGGACAAUUUUUAAGUCACCUUUCCCUACGACCUUACAUUAUUAUUAUGUCCCCAUGUUAUUAAGUAGUCCUUAAAAGCUGUAAAAUAGGAGUUCCCGUGUGGCUCAGCAGUUAACAAAUCCGACGAGGAACCAUGAGACUGAAUUCUUCCAUACAGCAUAACACCUUUGAGAUUCAUCUAAGGUUUUGUAUGUUUAACUGUUGGUUCCUUUCUAUUGCUGAGUACUACUCCAUUAGACAGAUAUACCCGAGGCUGUUUAUCCACUUAUCCACUGAAAGAUAUUUGAAUUGUUUCCAAUAUUUACCAUUAUGCGGAAUUCUGUAAAUAUUUGUGCUCAGGUUUUUAUUUUUUUGCUCUUUAGGGCCAUGUCUGUGGCAUAUGGAAGCUCAUACAAAGCUGCAGCUACCAGCCUAUGCUACGGCCACAGCAAUGCAAGAUCCUUAAUCCACUGAGUGAGGCCAGGGAUUGGACCCACAUCCUCAUGGAUACUAGUCGGGUUUGUAAACUGCUGAGCCACAAUUGGAAUGCCUCAGGUUUUUAUUUUGAAUAAGUGUUGAAUUUUGUCAAUUUUUUUUCUAUAUCAAUUGAUAGGUACAAUCAUGAGGGGUUUUUUUCUUUAGCUAUUAAUACUAUGGAUUAAAUUGACUGGUUUCCAAAUAUUGAACCAGCCUUGUAUUCCCAGACCUUAUUGACUGUGGUGUGUUAUUCUUUUUGUACAUUACUGGAUUCAACUUGAUAAUAUUUUUUGGAGAAUUUCUGUACCUAUACUCAUGUGGGAUAUUGGCCUAUAGUUUUCUCCUUUUUGAGGAGGGUAUUGUCUGGGUAAUGAUGAUCUUAUAAAAUUCACUAGGAGGUGUUCUCUCCUCUUUGAUUUUCUGGAAGAGAUUACUGUAGCAUUCAUUCUAAUCUUUUAAAUAUUUGGUGGAAUUUGCCAGUGAAGUGAUCUGAGACUACAGACUUCUUUCUCUAAAGGUUUUAAACCUUAAGUUCAUUAUCUUUAAUUAUUAUAAUCAUUUAGGUUACCUAUUUCAUAUUGGAUGAGUUUUGGCAGUUUUUGAAUCUCAAAGAAUUCACUCAUUUCACCUAAACUGUUAAAUUUAUGUGCAUGGGGCUUUUGUAGUAUUCCCUUUUGUCAUUUUAAAAUCUGUAGGCUUAUAGUGAGAUUUUUCUUUUUACAGUUUAAUACCAUUAUGGUCAAAUGUAGGGUGCUUUUAUACUUUCCUGAUUGCCCUGUAUGAUUUUUCAGAAGUGGAAACAUUUGGGACUAAAUUUUUUUGUUUGUUUUGUUUUUUGCAUUCUAACUAAAACUGAAAUAUGAGAAAAACUUUCCUCAGAUUUCCAGGGCUUCAUCUCCACCCUAGGUCCAAGGAUUUGGAUUUUAGGUGACAGAGCAAGUUAUAAAAGGAAACUGGCAACAACUGCUUUUCUCUAGGACUCAAGCUGACUAUAACUCAAACUGGUCAUAACAAGCUAGCAAUAAAGGACACUGUCUCAUUCAUUGUGUAAAGCUGAGGUUUCCAGAAAUUAUUUGGAAGCAGAAUCCUAAAGGAAGAGUACGUAAGUACAUAAUACCAUAUUAGAUUUUCAUAAUUUUAAGAAAAUCCAAUUUAAAAAAAAAAAAGACAUAAAGUACUGUAUUUAACAACCACCAUGAAUUACAAUAUACUUCAGUUCCUAUUACAGCCAUAAGCAAAAUAUUUAUAAAGUAGAAAAAUGUAUUUUUUAAACUGAUAACCUUUUGACUGUUUGCUCACACAACUGCCAUUUUAGUAUGCAGUGUAGUGUUUUGCUGAGCCUUUCUAAAGUAGCCCAUCAUUUCUUGUUACAGUUGUCAAAUUCUAUAAAUGUCCCACACUAUCAUUCAUUCAUUAAUGUGAAGUACUCUCCUAAAGGAUUUGUUUGUUAUCGUUAUCCCUUUAAAAGGGGAGAAAAGCAAGCAAAUAAAUCCUGAACAAAGCUGCACUUUCUUAAACACCCUAACUACCUUUUGUGAAUUCAUCAUUUUAAUCUAUUCAUUUAUUUAAAUUAAUAUUUAAGGGUAUCUCUACAUCAAUUAAUUUUAAUGUGGGUUUACUGGCAAAAAAUACUCAAAUUUUAUUCAAAAAACGUCUUUUUGAAACUUUUAUUGCUGAAGGAUAUUUUUACUGCUUAUACAAUUCUGAAUUGGCAAUUUUUUUCUUACAGCAUGUUAAAAAUACCAUUUUUUACAGACAUUCUACAGAAAUCUUUGGCUUGAUGACUACAUCAGUUUUAAAAAAUUCUCAGAUAAUAUCUCUUCAAUUACUGCUUAAUUCCCCAUUCUCUCCCCCUUCUACUGAGGCUCUAAUUACACAUACACAGUAACUUCUCUCAGCAUUUGCCAUAUAUAUCUUGUUCUCUUUUGUACUUUUCAUCUUUUUUAUUUCACUUUCUACUUAGCAGUUCGAUAAUACUCUGCUCUGUCCAAUCUAUUGUUAAACUCAUUUUAUUAAAUAUUUUGAUAUUUAUCAACUCUUGAAUUUCCAUGGACUGUGUCUACAGGUUCUAGUCCACUGCCAAUAUUCUUUUUAUCUCUUUUCUUAAAUCUGUUAAUCACAACCAUUUAAAAAUACCUGUCUAAUAAUUCCAAUACAAAGAUCACUCUGGGGUCUAUUUUAUUGUUUUUGCUUUGAUUUUGGCCACUUUGUCCUCUCUCUUGGGAUGCCUAAUAAUUUUUUAUUAAAAGCCAGGCAUAUAUGAUUAACUAUAAAUGCUCUGGAUAAUAUCUUUCUUGUUGGUUAUUGGUUUUUUUAUUAUUGUUGUUUGUUUUGUUUUUCCUGGAAGACAGAGGAGUUACAGAUCACCUUGAUCCAGAGAUAAGAUGAUUAAAAUCCAAGAGGUCUUUGGCAAUCUGAAUCCAGUUCUAUUUCUCAAGUACUACAAAACUCCUUAACAUUCGAGUUAGCAUAUUAGCUUCUACCUUCUGCUUUGUUGCUUAUAGUCUCACUCAACGCAGCUUAUCAGUUACCUUUUUGGAGAAAAGAACUACAGAAUAUCACAUUUACUUAUCUGUAAUUCUCCUUUCACCAGGAUUCUCACCCCUCAAGUCUUAGCUACUAUGGCCAACAAGCACAUGAAAAAAUGCUCAAUAUAUCACUAUUUAUUAGAGAAACGCAAAUCAAAACUACCAUGAGAUACUACCUCACUCCUAUCAGAAUGGCCAUCAUUAACAAGUCCAAAAAUAACAAAUGCUGGAGAGGGUGUGGAGAAAAGGGGACCCUCCUACACUGUUGGUGGGAAUGUUAAAUUGGUACAACCACUAUGGAAAACAGUAUGGAGGUACUACAGAAAACUAAAUAUAGAACUACCAUAUGACCCAGUAAUCCCACUCCUGGGCAUAUAUGUGGACAAAACUUUCCUUGAAAAAGACAUAUGCACCUAUAUGUCCACUGCAGCAUUAUUCACAAUAGCCAAGACAUGGAAACAACCUAACUGUCCAUUGACAGAUGAAUGAAUUAAGAAGAUGUGGUGUAUAUAUGUGUGUUCUAUCAAUUAGAAGCAAGUUUGUCUUAAAAUACAUGUCUGAACAAAAUCAAUUUACAAAAAAAGAUUUUAAGAUAUUCAUACAUAUAUAAUUGUAUUAUUACUUAGGCUUUGAUAAUACCUGUAUUUUGAAAAAUUAAAAAUUUAAAAAUAAACUCAAUACUGCCUUUCAAAAGCCAUGUAUUCAGAUUUUUAGGGAAUAAAAGGAUGCAUGAUCCAUUUAUUCAAUCCUCCAUGAAUAGAGCACAGGUACAGCAUGGUAGACACUUUGAGAUAUUUAUCAUGAAGACAUUAAGCCAAUGGAAAAUAUUAUUCAGAU
rnacentral:lncRNA from 1 species